rnacentral:rRNA from 1 species
AGAGUUUGAUCAUGGCUCAGGAUCAACGCUGGCGGCGUGCCUAAUGCAUGCAAGUCACACGGACCACCUUCGGGUGGCACCGUGGCGAACGGCUGAGGAACACGUGCGCACCUGCCGUGUCGUGGGGNNUCCGGGUGGAAACACCCGCUAAUACCGCGUACGCUCGCUCUCGUAGGGAGAGUGAGGAAAGCCUUCGGGCGCGGGACGAGGGGCGCGCGGCCCAUCAGGUUGAUGGCGGGGUAACGGCCCACCAUGCCGAUGACGGGUCGCUGGUCUGAGAGGACGGCCAGCCAGACUGGGACUGAGACACGGCCCAGACACCUACGGGUGGCAGCAGCAAGGAAUCUUCCGCAAUGGGCGCAAGCCUGACGGAGCAACGCCGCGUGGAGGACGACGGCCUUCGGGUUGUAAACUCCUUUUCUCAGGGACGAAACGGACGGUACCUGGGAACAAGCCCCGGCUAACUCUGUGCCAGCAGCCGCGGUAAGACAGAGGGGGCAAGCGUUGUCCGGAUUUACUGGGCGUACAGCGCGCGCAGGCGGUCGUGCAGGUACCUGACAAACAUGCGCUCAACGCAUGCGGGACUGAAACCGCAGGACUGGAGGCAGGGAGAGGGAUGUGGAAUACCCGGUGGAGCGGUGAAAUGCGUAGAGAUCGGGUGGAACACCAGUGGCGAAGGCGGCAUCCUGGCCCUGACCUGGCGCUGAGGCGCGAGAGCGUGGGGAGCGAACGGGAUUAGAUACCCUAGUAGUCC